GUGUGUGCCGGACACCUCUGGCAGGACUAACCCUGUGGCUUUUAUGUCCAACGUGCUGUGUGCCUGCAGUAUCCUGUCCAAGACCAAGCUACCUUUCCUCGUUGGAAUGGACUGGCCGGGCUUUGGCAGUCUGGCCCCUCGAAAGACUAAAGUGACCUCUUCCAGCAGGGGAAGACUUUCUGGCAAGCGGUACCAGAAAGAACUGGAGUUUCUGGAGAAUAAAAGCUGGAGGUGUGCCCCCGAUAAUCCUCGCCCCGGGUGGUGAGUGGUCUGACUUGCAGGGAGCGGUGGCCUUGGCCAGGAGCGGUCCUGCCGGACUGUAAUUUUAAUUUCCUGCCCAGGCUGUAAUUUUAAUUUCCCUUGGAUGCUUGGCAAAGCCCUUCUGGGGGAGCCCUAGUGCCUGGCAUGAGCGGAGCGGGCUUCCAGGGAGGUAUUCACCUGGUCAGCGUCAGGAACCAUCCUCCCUGAAGCCUCGGCUCCCUCUUUCCCUUCGGUUGCCGUGGAUGUGCCGGACACCUCUGGCAGGACUAACCCUGUGGCUUUUAUGUCCAACGUGCUGUGUGCCUGCAGGUAAGAAAAGCUGGGAGUGCAGUCCCUCUGCUUUGCUUGCUGUGUCUCUUGGGUAGUGAUUUUGGAGGGGAAUCCCAGAGCGAUUUGGUUUGAAGGGGACCUUCAAAGGCCACCCUGUCUUCCGUGGGCAGGGACACCUUCCCCUCUCAUCCCCGGUUGC